AAAAAGACCAGUUUUGAACUGUUCAUAUCUAACGUUUGACUGCCUGUCUUAUUUGAAAAUUUUUUUAUGAUUAGUAUUUUUAUUUUUAUUAGAUGAUAAAACAUUAAUAGUACUUUAUGUGUGACUAAUUUUUAAAAUUUUUCAAAUAUUGGACACAAAAACCUACAACUGCACUUAAA
rfam:Oryza sativa Japonica Group DNA, chromosome 5, cultivar: Nipponbare, complete sequence.